rnacentral:rRNA from 1 species
CCCAGACAGCCAGGAUGUUGGCUUAGAAGCAGCCAUCAUUUAAAGAAAGCGUAAUAGCUCACUGGUCGAGUCGGCCUGCGCGGAAGAUGUAACGGGGCUAAACCAUGCACCGAAGCUGCGGCAGCGACGCUUAUGCGUUGUUGGGUAGGGGAGCGUUCUGUAAGCCUGUGAAGGUGGCCUGUGAGGGUUGCUGGAGGUAUCAGAAGUGCGAAUGCUGACAUAAGUAACGAUAAAGCGGGUGAAAAGCCCGCUCGCCGGAAGACCAAGGGUUCCUGUCCAACGUUAAUCGGGGCAGGGUGAGUCGACCCCUAAGGCGAGGCCGAAAGGCGUAGUCGAUGGGAAACGGGUUAAUAUUCCCGUACUUGGUGUUACUGCGAAGGGGGGACGGAGAAGGCUAUGUUGGCCGGGCGACGGUUGUCCCGGUUUAAGCGUGUAGGCUGGUUUUCCAGGCAAAUCCGGAAAAUCAAGGCUGAGGCGUGACGACGAGGCACUACGGUGCUGAAGCAACAAAUGCCCUGCUUCCAGGAAAAGCCUCUAAGCAUCAGGUAACAUCAAAUCGUACCCCAAACCGACACAGGUGGUCAGGUAGAGAAUAC